GACGAACGCUGGCGGCGUGCUUAACACAUGCAAGUCGUACGGUAAGGCCCUUUCGGGGGUCCACGAGUGGCGCACGGGUGAGUAACACGUGAGUAACCUGCCCACAACUUUGGGAUAACGCUAGGAAACUGGUGCUAGUACUGGAUAUGUGCUCCUGCUGCAUGGUGGGGGUUGGAAAGCUCCGGCGGUUGUGGAUGGACUCGCGGCCUAUCAGCUUGUUGGUGGGGUAGUGGCCUACCAAGGCGGCGACGGGUAGCCGGCCUGAGAGGGUGACCGGCCACAUUGGGACUGAGAUACGGCCCAGACUCCUACGGGAGGCAGCAGUGGGGAAUAUUGCACAAUGGGCGCAAGCCUGAUGCAGCAACGCCGCGUGCGGGAUGACGGCCUUCGGGUUGUAAACCGCUUUCAGCAGGGACGAAGCUUUUUGUGACGGUACCUGCAGAAGAAGCACCGGCUAACUACGUG
rnacentral:rRNA from 1 species